rnacentral:rRNA from 1 species
AUUGAACGCUGGCGGCAGGCCUAACACAUGCAAGUCGAACGGUAACAGGAGACAGCUUGCUGUUUCGCUGACGAGUGGCGGACGGGUGAGUAAUGUCUGGGAAACUGCCUGAUGGAGGGGGAUAACUACUGGAAACGGUAGCUAAUACCGCAUAACGUCGCAAGACCAAAGAGGGGGACCUUCGGGCCUCUUGCCAUCGGAUGUGCCCAGAUGGGAUUAGCUAGUAGGGGGGGUAACGGCUCACCUAGGCGACGAUCCCUAGCUGGUCUGCGAGGAUGACCAGCCACACUGGAACUGAGACACGGUCCGGACUCCUACGGGAGGCAGCAGUGGGGAAUAUUGCACAAUGGGGGAAACCCUGAUGCAGCCAUGCCGCGUGUGUGAAGAAGGCCUUCGGGUUGUAAAGCACUUUCAGCGAGGAGGAAAGGGUGGCAGCUAAUACCUGUCAUCUGUGACGUUACUCGCAGAAGAAGCACCGGCUAACUCCGUGCCAGCCGCCGCCGUAA